rnacentral:rRNA from 1 species
AUGCACGCUGGCGGCGUGCCUCAUACAUGCAAGUCGCGCGAACGGACGAGAAGCUUGCUUCUCUGAUGUUAGCGGCGGACGGGUGAGUAACACGUGGAUAACCUACCUAUAAGACUGGGAUAACUUCGGGAAACCGGAGCUAAUACCGGAUGAUAUUUUGAACCGCAUGGUUCAAAAGUGAAAGACGGUCUUGCUGUCACUUAUAGAUGGAUCCGCGCUGCAUUAGCUAGUUGGUAAGGUAACGGCUUACCAAGGCAACGAUGCAUAGCCGACCUGAGAGGGUGAUCGGCCACACUGGAACUGAGACACGGUCCAGACUCCUACGGGAGGCAGCAGUAGGGAAUCUUCCGCAAUGGGCGAAAGCCUGACGGAGCAACGCCGCGUGAGUGAUGAAGGUCUUCGGAUCGUAAAACUCUGUUAUUAGGGAAGAACAAAUGUGUAAGUAACUAUGCACGUCUUGACGGUACCUAAUCAGAAAGCCACGGCUAACUACGUG